GAUGAACGCUGGCGGCGUGCCUAAUACAUGCAAGUCGAGCGAACAGACGAUGCUCUUGCUCCUCUCACGUUUGCCGAAGGCGUGUGUGUAACACGUGUAUAACCUCCCUAUCAUACUGAUAUCACUUCGAGACACCGGAUCUAAUCCCGGAUAAUCUCUUGCACCGCGUGGUUCGAUAGUGAAAUACGGUUUUUCUGUCACUUCUCGCUGCAUCCGCGCCGCAUUGGCUAGUUGUUAAGUUAAAGGGUUACCAAGGCAAGCAGGCGUAGCCGACCUGAGAGGGUGAUAGGCCACACUGGAACGGAGACAGGGUCAAGACUCCUAAGGGAGGCAGCAGUAGGGAAUCGGCAGCAAUGGGCGAAAGCAUGACGGAGCAAGGGCGCGUGAGUGAUGAAGGUCUUCGGAGCGUAAAAAUCUGUUAUUAGGGAAGAACAAAUGUGUAAGGAAAUAUGCACGGCGUGACGGUAACGAAUAAGAAAGCAACGGCUAACUACGUG
rnacentral:rRNA from 1 species